rnacentral:rRNA from 1 species
GAUGAACGCUGGCGGCGUGCCUAAUACAUGCAAGUCGAGCGAACAGACGAGGAGCUUGCUCCUCUGACGUUAGCGGCGGACGGGUGAGUAACACAUGGUUAACCUAACUAUAAGACUGGGAUAACUUCGGGAAACCGGAGCUAAUACCGGAUAAUAUAUUGAACCGCAUGGUUCCAGAGUUAAAGACGGUUUUGCUUUCACUUAUAGACGGAUCCGCCCCGCAUUAGUUAGUUGGUUAGGUAACGGCUUACCAAGGCGGCGAUGCGUAGCCGCCCUGAAAGGGACAUCCGCCACACUGGAUCUGAGCAACGGUCCAGACUCCUACGGGAGGAAGCGGCAGGGACUCCUACGCGAUGGGCGAAUGCGUAACGGAGCAACACCGGGUGAGUGAUGAAGCUCUUAGGAUCGUAGAGCUAUGUUAUUAUGGAAGAUCAAAUGUGUAAGUAACUAUGCACGUCUUGACAGUACCUAAUCAGAAAGCUACGGCUAACUACGUG